UACGUAGGGUGCGAGCGUUAAUCGGAAUUACUGGGCGUAAAGCGUGCGCAGGCGGUUCGCUGUGUCCGAUGUGAAAGCCCCGGGCUUAACCUGGGAAUGGCAUUGGAAACUGGCGGGCUUGAGUGUGGCAGAGGGGGGUGGAAUUCCGCGUGUAGCAGUGAAAUGCGUAGAUAUGUGGAGGAACACCGAUGGCGAAGGCAGCCCCCUGGGUUAACACUGACGCUCAUGCACGAAAGCGUGGGGAGCAAACAGG
rnacentral:rRNA from 1 species